AACGAACGCUGGCGGCAUGCCUAACACAUGCAAGUCGAACGAACCCUUCGGGGUUAGUGGCGCACGGGUGCGUAACGCGUGGGAAUCUGCCCUUUGCUUCGGAAUAACUCAGGGAAACUUGUGCUAAUACCGGAUGAUGUCUUCGGACCAAAGAUUUAUCGGCAAGGGAUGAGCCCGCGUAGGAUUAGGUAGUUGGUGGGGUAAAGGCCUACCAAGCCGACGAUCCUUAGCUGGUCUGAGAGGAUGAUCAGCCACACUGGGACUGAGACACGGCCCAGACUCCUACGGGAGGCAGCAGUGGGGAAUAUUGGACAAUGGGCGCAAGCCUGAUCCAGCAAUGCCGCGUGAGUGAUGAAGGCCCUCGGGUCGUAAAGCUCUUUUACCAGGGAUGAUAAUGACAGUACCUGGAGAAUAAGCUCCGGCGAACUCCGU
rnacentral:rRNA from 1 species